rnacentral:lncRNA from 7 species
GGCUUCCAAGGGUUAAUCUGCAAUUUCCAGUGACUUAGGUGUACAAAUUCUCUAUAACCGAGGAUGGCGGGUUGAUUAUGCUAAAGAGCAGGGGCUCUUUAGCAUAUUUGCACGGUCGAAUGGGUAUGUCUUCACCAGAACUGCCCGAUCAGGAUCCUAUGGAUCAGAUUAGAUCCACCGUAUACCAAAGCGGUACAUGUUACGGGCCGCGCAUCAUUCGAUCAACGAUGUAGAUUUUAAACACCCACGAUACAACGUCGGCCACCCAAUUUGAUUCCAACGCCUCGGAUGCCAUUUAGCGAACAGGUACGCGAUCUUAUAAUCCUGGCCACCCAAUUAGAUCCAACAGCGCCCGCACCUUCUUCCUUCGAUGUUGAGGCUCAGUGGCGCCGUUUUUUGCACAGCGAAACCUCGUCGUCGUAAGGCCAUCACCCGCUACGGCCUGCGAUUUGAUGCCUCGACUACCGCUACACGAGGCCUAGAUGAGAACAAAUUAAGGGAGUAAGUUCUUACUGGCCAUGGAGUCGAGGUGAGGUCGACCCGUGGCGCCAUGCAAAUCGGUGGUGUCCACGAAGUCCGACGACAAAUUCCCAAAGCCCCACGGUCACCUGUGCUCCACGAGUCCCCCAGCAUGCUCCCUAUGACCUAGCAAAGUUCCCCUGCACGCCCCCAAAGGAAGACCCGUG